rnacentral:tRNA from 2 species
GCGACGGUGGCGGAAUUGGUAGACGCGCUAGCUUCAGGUGUUAGUGUCUUAACGGACGUGAGGGUUCAAGUCCCUCCCCUCGCACCA